rnacentral:lncRNA from 1 species
CAGGCGCAAAAAUGCGCGGGGUUAAACAUGUUUUUGAGAUCUCAACCCUCCCCCUAUACCUCUAGCCAAUGUAGAAAAGUAAACGCAUAACAAUACGCACAUUAAAAUUCAGUUCAAGAGAAGUCCGAGUCUGAUGUCAGAAGAUGUAACCAAAGAAAAUAAACAAAAUGACAAUAAUACAUAAAUAACAACAGACCUCUAGCAGUUAACUGACAUGCCAG